UACAGAGGGGGCAAGCGUUGUUCGGAAUUACUGGGCGUAAAGGGCGCGUAGGCGGCCGCCUAAGUCAGACGUGAAAUCCCUCGGCUCAACCGGGGAACUGCGUCUGAUACUGGGUGGCUUGAAUCCGGGAGAGGGAUGCGGAAUUCCAGGUGUAGCGGUGAAAUGCGUAGAUAUCUGGAGGAACACCGGUGGCGCAGGCGGCAUCCUGGACCGGCAUUGACGCUGAGGCGCGAAAGCCAGGGGAGCAAACGGG
rnacentral:rRNA from 1 species